GUGAAGUGAAUUAACAUCUGUUGUUUGAAUGGGGCUAAUGUCUAGCCAUUCAUCAAUUUCACAGGAUUAUAUCGUUGACCGGAGGUAGGAGUGUGAGCAGACUGCAAAGAAAAGCUGUGUUGUCUGGAGGUUUGGGGAAGCUGUAGUAUGUGUCUUGGAGGCAGGAACAAUUCACAGUGAAAGCGAUCUGCAAAAUGCUGACAGAUCUUGGAGCGCCCGUCACUUUGGAGACACCUUGAGCAUUGUGUUAAUAGCAGAAAUUGGAGUCGGAGUUGGGUGUUUAAAGGAUGCUUGUAUACCAGGGUAUGAAGAAAGUCAGCAGCUGAAUGAGAGCGGGGGAGGAUGGGUGGAAACGCACACACACAAAACCGGAGGAGGAGGAAGAGGAGGAUGGAUGGAAAGAUGGAUGCACGCACCCCCAAAAAAAAUCAAGAUUACACUGCAUCGCCAGCUUGUCUCAUCUGAAUCGCCGACUCUUGACCUCCCCCGAGGUACACGCUCACUGUCAGAGGAACCCGGCCAACCAGGCACUGCGUUGGGGGCGCUUCUUGAAAGGCCCAAACACACACGGGGGGAAAGCGAGUGUGCAGACGCCACACCAACACACGCCAGGCUGGGCCCGUGGGAGUGUGGCAGGGUUUUAACCUCUGAGGACUUCCUCCACCAAUGAGGUGCAGGGGGAGUUAGCCGUGACGCGGCGGAGUGGCGUGUGGCUCAAAACGGGCUAUAUGUUAAGCGUUCUCUUGUGGAUUUAGUGACUUGUUCUAUGGGAAGAAUUAGAAACAUCCCUUGCUUAUUAUCAGUUCCCAUGAGCUUGGUUUAUUCCCAAUUUUGCUGUGUGUGUGUGUGAAUGUGAACGUGUGUGUGAGUGUGUGUGUCUAAUUGUGGAUUGUUUCUAUGCUUGAAUACACAUCACACGCACAUUUAACAUAGUACCAGCUGGCACCUUCACACCACAGGAAACAGACCUGUUUAUACUAUUGCUUCCCUAUCAAAAUGAGAGACAAAUUAUAAACAAAAACAGACAGCCUGACUGAUACCUGCAAUUUACCACCAUCAUAAACCUAAUGUAUACUGUAUCUCUACACUGAUGCACUACUUUCAAAUAGCAUAGCCUUUAGGCAUCCAAGUUGUGCAAUGUGGUAUUCUUGAUUGUACGUAUAUGCACAUUUGUAGAGAGUCCAGAUGAACACAAUAACAUUUAAAUGUCUUUUGUAUUACCACUGUUAGUCAAUACACAUCAUUGCGAUAAUGCAAUCUCAUCACUUGUGCAAAUAUUAGCAAUUUGCAAGUCAGCACUAAAAAUGUGGAGCUGCAUAUGAUAACAUUAAUGUACAUAUUGCAUAUGCAGUGGACUGUAGGUACCUUACAAUUUGUAAUACCAUUGCUUUCACUUUGAAGAAUCAGACAGUAAUUUUCAGGAAAAGGAAACUGCAGAGGUGUUAUCACAAUGUGGCCCAAUCACAUGACAGUCUCAAUUUGCCAACAGGAAAGUAAGAGUUUAAGAACAAGAUGGUGUCUGGUCAGUAUGGGUGUGAGAGGAAGACUUCCUUGAUUUGUUUAUUCCAUUGGAUCCGUGUAACAGCGUUGUAUAUAUUUCUCCCUUGCAUAUUUAGAGACUGCACACAGCCAGCCAACUAAGACUUGGUUUAAUCAUACAUUUCAGACUUUUAAACAUUCUACAUUAUUUACCACUGCUCCCAUACCUCCUUAUUUUGUUCGGAAGUGAACAAAUCUCUUAGGUUUUCAAAACAAAGGGUAAAUGAUUACAUUUUAAAAAUAAUUAACAGAUGGCCCAGCCUAAAAAAAAAUAAGUAAAAAAAAUAGAUUUUCUACAAAUGAUUGCAUUCUUUCCCCUUUGGUGUGAAAAGUAGAUUCAAGAACACUUUUAAAUAAUUUGUUCAAUUUGUUCCACAGCCAAAGAAAAGCGGCUUGGUGGAAAUUCAGAUUCAUUAAAACUUAAUUAAUAUGCAUCAUUAUGUAAAUGAGGUUGCAGUUAAUGAGUUCUUAAAAGAAGCCUUGCUUAAUUAGUUCACUUUUAAUGGCAUCAUCAUUUAUCUUUUUUCUUUGAAGCAGAAUGACGCGCGAAACUAGCCAUUCCCGAAAGUGCAAAAAUGUCCUAUUUUUUAAUUAUUCUUAUUUCCUUAAUUUUAUAUGAUUAAGAAUAUAUUUAGAGAGAGAAAAAAGACAAAACGUACUCUUUUUUUAAAGUCACUUAUUUCAAUUAAAAGGGAUUCUCUGUAGAUGGAGUAUUGCCCAAAAGUUAAAGAGAAUGUCUCCCCAAACAGUCCUAAGGUUCUGUGUAUCGCUUCCGUAAGUCCGAGGAUUCAGACAGCUUUUCAUUAAAUGAGAACUGGCAGAAUCCGGUUGCAGUGUAUAGAACUUCUUCAAAACAUAUGAAUGAAAGAAAGGCAGAUAGUUUUACAUCGCUGACUUUUGUACAAUUAUCUAUUUAUUUGUUUGUUUGUGGUAUUCAUUCAUUCAUUUAUGAUGACAGGAUACUUUGACACUUCGUAAGAGGUUGGUUGAAGACCAAAUCAUAGCUUUCAGUGUGUCCAACUGUAUUGGCAUUCCUGCUUAAUAAACAUGAACCCUCAUUUUACAUUUGAAUCUUAUAGGUAACUUCCACUGUUUUCCCUGUUUGCAGAUGCUGUUGUCAACACACAAUGCAUUAUCUUCAGCUGACUGCAAAACAUGUUUUGCAUUCAACCUGACUCCUAUUGUACCACUCUGUUUCUAUAAAAUAACAAGCCUAUUACCUUGGUUUGCCUGAGUAUAUAUAUAUUACCUGUGGUGGUUGGGGCCACAGGAGAGGCCUAGCACAGUGUACUGUUUCAUGUUGUCAGGAGCAUACCUUCACUCUUAAUUGAUAACCACUGGCACUUGAUCUGAAGAUGUUAAAACAGCCAAUCUAUCUUUGUGCCUCCAAUAAGACAACCAUCUGUUGUUGCCGAGCCCAACGUUCAUUAAAUAUAAUUUCCUUAUGUAUGAGUAAGUUUGUAAUUGUAUAUCUCGUGAGCUGCAUUUGUAGCAAUGGAAUGGGAAAGUUAUAUGAUUGUUUCAGGAACGAGAGGAGAGGACUAAAAGAAAGCUUGAAAUUGGAUUGAUGAUUUUGUUGAAAUGUGCAUGUUGUUGACUGCAUUGGGUUCAUGUAUGGAACAUUUAGGAGUGUAAAUGUGUAACAUGUUGAGUGAUGUACCUGUUAACUGUUUACCAACUACAGAAACUUUUGGUGCAAUUGUAACAAACAAUAUAGGCGUUAAUAUCUCAAAAUAAGUAUGUAAAUUUGCUGUGCAAAAUCUGCAUUUGUUUUGUUGUACCCAGUGGAAAUGAAGCAAGUGAGUUUAUUGGCAAGUUAAAUGGUACUGUUACUGUAAAUGUGGUGUGGCAGUGGGCAUGUGUUGGUGACACUUCGGACAUUCAGUAGCCUACGUAAUUCAUCCGCCUACCGAUCAUUUGAAUCUGUCAACUCCUUGAAAGAACUCCAUAAAAAUAUAUAAAUACAAUCACUCUGCAACCCUGUCAGCUUUGCUGGCCAAACUAAAAGUUUUUUUGUUACUAACUAAAACCCAACUUUAGUUGGAAGUGUUUACGGUUGUCUAUGAUGAAGACUGUUCCAGUUAAUGCAUUGUUUGUGGACCCUCGCCCUGGUAAACUUGCUGUCUUCUGCUUUAAUUGCCAUCUGUGCUAGGAAAGAAAAACAUAUACCUGGAUUUUUAACCAAUGGAAGAUUAUGGAAUGUGAUCAAAACAGAAAAAGUAACAGGAUGAAGUCACAGUGAAUGUAUUUACUUAUUGAACCCAUGCUGUAUGUCUCCAGGUCACUGAGAUAAGCCUUGAUCUAUUGUAAAAUUAAGUAUUUUUGGAGUAAUUACAGUUUUUACAAGUAAAUCUGUAUUAAUAGCAUACAUUGUAUAUAUAGCAUGUAAAUGUAUGGGGUUGGCGGCUGAAAUCACGAGUUUGGAUCUGCUGGAUGAACAUUGUCAUAAUGACCAAAACACCAAACAUGUCAUUUCUAUGGCAUCCAAUAUUCAGCACAAACAGUAGAAUUGGACAGCCACUAACGUACCUGAUCAUGGACCCUUUAUUCCUCCUGCCAUAUACUCACCACAGAAGCAUCCUCCGCUUGACACUUGAUCUCAUUCCUCCAUGACUGCAGGGGGACUGACAGAGAAAGACCCCUCCAGCACGGACAUGAGUGGAGGUGACACGCCGCCCUGGAGAGGAGGAGGAGGGAGGUGAGGCCCAGUCAGGGUAGGGUGGAACCCUGUUUCCAUCCCGAGUGAACCAGACAGAUCCUGAAUCAUAGGGGCCGGCCAAUUAGGAUCAGCCAUAAGCGAGGGAGGAGUGGGCUUUGCCGUUUAGGAGUUUGAUUUUAACUGAAGUGAUGUCCGAAGUUAGGCCCAGCGCCAGGCCGUUUAGUGAUGCUCCUUUGUAUUAGGGCAGGAUGGAGAAUGUAAGAUGAUGGGGUUGAGCAUGUUAUUCUCAGUCUGGGUUAACUCUCUGGGGAAGGAGAGAAUGGAUAGAAGGGAUUUAGGGGUAUGGUAGUAGGAGGAGGGAAGGUGGAGUGGACACGGUUUUGGCCCAAAUAUUUGUUUUAAAGUGUUUACUGUGUGUGUAUGUCUAAGUGAGUCUGCAUGUCUAUGUGUGUCUGCUAAACACUCAAACCCUCUAUUUGUAUUAAGUAUACAUCCACAUGUACUAUCCAUAGAGCCCAAAAUAAUGCAUUACUCUGAAAUCAUACAGCCAAGUCUUAAUUGGACAUACACAUCCACAAAACUGGGUUAUUUCUCACACGCUACCUUCUGUGUUUAGCAUCUAUAACGAGCGUGGUUAAACAGUGGAGCCUGGGCCAUCUUGUGCAUCACUGUGUUUAGAGCUGCUGCUAGACCCGGCCCCCCCUUUGUUCUGAGCUUGAUGAGGAGGAAGCCCUGCUAGGCUGCGAUGAGUUCUCAUCAUCGCCCUGCAUCUCUGCCAAGCUGUCGUCUGUACAUUACUGAGACGGGGGGCCUGUUGAUUGACAGGAUAAGAAGUCGCCUCGGCGCACAGAGAGAUCUCUAUCCGCCUCUGACGGCAGAUGUACCGUGUGGUGCAGCUGUGGCAUGGUGCGUACUGGUGGAUUGUGGGAUGUCGGGGUGAUGGGAGAACACAGGAGGUGUUUGUGGGUUUUAAGUGCAUGACUUCUAUUUUGCUGUGCUGGAUCUGGUUUGUUGUGGGUGCUAGACAUGGGUUGUUCUAGGUGCUCAACCUGAGAUAAUUUAAGAGCUAAAUCUGGUCAUGUUGGAUGCUAGACUCACGUUGAUGACGGUGGCAGGAACUGGUUUGAGGUUGUUUGGAUUUCCUUCACUGUAUCUCUCACUCUCUGACUAUCUCACCCUUCAUUUAUCUAUUUCCUGUUUCAUGGUCACCUUGGGUUAUGAAGUAAUGGCACGUAAGAAUAAAAUAAAAGACAUUCUUCAUCCAUGUGCAGACAGUCAAUGUCAAACCUUGUUUUUUUCCGCUUGUGCAUCAACAAAGCAAUUUGUUUCCCCCGAGUAUACUAAUUUCUAGAUUUCACAGUACCAGGUGUUACGGCUGCCAGUCAUUACGUGAAAAUCAGCAAAAUCCUAACCAUGGUGCUUAUCCUCCACAACAAAAUAAGACAAGAUUCACUUUGACUGAUUUGAGGGCUGAUAGGGGGGAGGUUGACUUCCUUCACACAGUCACCGCU